GUGUUUACUGAGUAUACCGUUUAUUACAGCCUUUUUCGUGCACUCGUGUUUCUCUGCUGCAACCUUCAUCUCCAAAUAUCGUGAGACAUCCAACUUACUUUACUGGACACAUUCUUGAUCUUAGAAGUUAAAGAGAAGACCCGCGUCUUCAGAAGAUCCAACAAGAAACUCAGAAACUCCCCAGUAAUACUUAACUCAAUAACUCCACAACAAGGAACAUCUUACAAACCCUCUUACCAUGACAGCACUCUGGACUGCUCCAAUGUUUUACUAUGUUAAUCCCAUGGCUGGACCCCCUCCACCAAACCCCCACCAUGGUGGCAUGUACCCUUACCCACCUCAACACACAUUCGUACCUCCUCCCCCCGUUACCAUGACAACGGGUCCUGCUCAGGAGAGUGAGGAAGCUAUGGAUACAACCGAGCAGGGGGGUGCUGUGGAAGUGGCGGCUAAAGAAGAGGGAGGUACUGUGGAAGAUGCGGAGAAUCAGGGAGAGGCUGGAAAAGAGGAAGACUCCGAACAGACGACCACCACGACGCAGUCCCCAAUCAGUGCCCCAGGGCUGCUACCAGGGAUACCAACUCAGCCUCACAACAAGAGUAAACGUCUACACGUGACCAACAUUCCUUUCAGAUUCCGCGAACUUGACCUUAUUGAGAUCUUCCAGCCGUUUGGACCGAUAUUAGAGGCGGAGAUAAUCUUUAAUGAGAGAGGGAGCAAAGGGUUCGGUUUCGUGACAAUGAUGUCGGCGGAGGACGCCAGCAACGCCAAACAGAAACUUGGUGGUGCUAUCAUUGACGGCAGAAAAAUUGAGGUUAAUUGGGCUACACCUAGAGCUACUAAAUCAGUCAACAGAGCACCAUUCCUUGUUUCACCCAGCUUGACCUACCCAGCAGCAUUGAGAGCCCGUGCUGCGUUCCUGACCCCAGCCCAAGCCUCCACUUACCAGCGACUUGCUGCAGCUAGAAACAGCUUCUUAGAACUUGCUGCCGCCAGGAAUCAUCCUUUCGCUAGCCACCACAGAUCCCUAGCCAUUGCAGACGCCACCCAGCUACAAGACCCUUACUUCGCAGCCGCACUCGCUGCCGCUAACACUAACGCAGUACAGUCGGUUCCGGGCGCCCAGUCUGUUAACGAUCUCGCUAAUGUGGCUGGAGGACAAGCAGCAGCAGCCGCCGCCUUCAACCCCCGCUUCUCGUCACCAUACGCCACCGCGGCUGCAACGCAACAGCUCGCCGCACAGCAACAGACAGCCUUCUCCUUCGAGGAUCAGUUGCUAGGAUACCAGACCCUUCCCAUAACCAGUAUACCGACGGCAUUACAACCAGCACAAGACCAACGCGCACAGCCGGGACUAAUGGGUGACCCAUGGCAGGCCGCGGCUCAGGCUGGACAAGAACAGCAGGCUGCGGCAGGAAUGCCCGGUAUGCAGAACGAUCAAGACUACAUCUGGACCACCCUGAUACCCCAGCAGCAGGCAGCCGCCGUGAUGCGGCAACACUUAGAACUUGCACAGCACCAGAGCAUCGUCAACCCAGUUAGCAGAGCGCUUGGAGUAGCAGCGAGUUACAGAUAUUACCCCUACUAAUCAGAUAUCGGCCCACACCCGAGUAUAAACACUCACUCGAUGACGUCACUUUCUGUUGAGGUGACGUCACUGAAAUUUGAUGACGUCACCGGUUUAGGUAACAGCUACAAUAUGACGUCACCAACACCUUGCGUUACGUCACGCCUCGUCUCGUAGCGCCACCAUAGCAACCAUGACGCGCUUCCCUAGCAACCAAUCCGCUAGAACGUGCUGCGAGAAUGUGAACAAUUACAAACGUUAUUAUGAAUAUCAUAGAUAUUAUCGAAUAUUGAUUUCAAGGAUCAGAUUUUUAACGCUUGUAAAUAUAGUUGAGUUAUUGAAAACACGCUCAUGUUCCCCAUUGGUUACAAAAAUGUGCAUGUUCAGCCGUACCUUCUUUAAAAUCCAAAUUUUUAUCCAAAAUUCUGUUUAGUAUUCUUUAAAUAUGACUUAAACGUGUCACAUAUAUAGGUGACCUACCUUUGACAGUUUAAGUAAAUGUUUGAAAUGUUGUAAUUUACUUGCGGGCUUUUGUAUUGGAUGUCAUUAAAAGAAUUAUAUUGUGCGGAAUUUUUAACCCUUUGCUAUGCACGCCGUAUAGAUAUGUGUUGAGUUACGAUAUUUUUACCUUAAUUUUUGCGGACCACUUUUUGUUUGUAAAUGUUAAGACGGGCAUAUUACGGCCCGCGUUUCGUACAUUUUAUCCGACUUUUGCGUAGUUUUUAUAUUGAAAUGGACCUACUUUAAGUACAUUGAUGUGUUCAAGAAGUUAUAAUUUGUUAGCUGCGUACAAAGCUUACCAGAUACGUAAAUACUCUGAUUAAUUGUACAUAGUAAAUAGUAAUCCUGUAAUCAUCAUCACUAAUGAUCAUGACGUAACAAUCAUGUGACACCUCAAAAGAUCAGAAAUUCUUUAGUUAAAGUGUUCCGCUUUUAGUUUCACAAAUUCCAUAAAGAUUAACUGCUAGAUUUUCAAACCAAAUUGUUGCAAAUCUUCCUUACACCAGUGUGUAGAAACUUCCCUUACAAAAUGUAUCCUUGUGUUUGCUAACCCCUGUCCAACACUUCACCGCACUAAUCACAGAGUGAACUAUUACCCUGUGUGUUUGUGUCACCAGACCUUAUCAAAACAUUUCCUUGUGUUCGACUAAUCCCUCUCCUUGUUUCAGACGAUGACCAAGUUGACUGGCAUGCUGCAUGAAUAUAACACGUCUCCCGCCUCGCUCUUACAUGUUAUGAAUGUGAUAUCAUCUUCCAAUCAUAUCUUACAGCAGUCAAGCGCGCUCAUAAUUAUGUAUUAAUUAUGCAUGAUUGUGCGCAGUUUAUUGACUCGUAAGGAUCUAAUCUUUUAUCGAUUUUAGAAUCGGUUGUUGAGCAUGAUACUAAUUCUGAUGAAGACCUGUGUACGUACAAUUAUAUAUGCGAUUAAAUUCUUGCCAAAAACUAUUGAUGAAAGAUAUGCUGUCCGCUUUGCUCAAAGGUAAUGACACUGUUUCCUUGUGUUUUAAAGACGUCGCAUGCUCAACUUUAACAAUUGGUAUUUUCACCAGUAGUCUUUUCAUUAUUUUGAAUUUUAAGAGCUUUUAAAACAUAAUCUGUGACUGAUUAUUAAUUAUAAGCUUGUUAAAUAGUUCGAUAUAAGCACAUUUUUUGUUGAGCUGAGAAAUAUCACUAUCAAGCAGAGGGGAGAGCCGGAACUGGACGAUCGUAUAGGUUCGGUAAUUCGAGCCAAUAUGUUCGGACACUUGCCCGGUUCACUGCUCUAUUGGAAUGAGAUUUAUAGCACAUUUUUAUGCGCAUGAAUGUUGAUCGUUGCUGAUGUUCUAGGUACUUACAUGAUUACUUCGAUGAUUGGAAACCAGUCACAUUGAUGUUUGAUAAUCAGUCACCUUGGUGUUUGAUAAUCAGUCACCUUGGUGUUUGACAAUCAGUCACCUUGGUGAUUGACAACCAGUCACCUUGGUGUUUGACAAUCAGUCACCUGGUGUUUGAUAAUCAGUCACCUUGGUGUUUGAUAAUCAGUCACCUUGGUGUUUGACAAUCAGUCACCUUGGUGUUUGAUAAUCAGUCACCUUGGUGUUUGAUAAUCAGUCACCUUGGUGUUUGACAAUCAGUCACCUUGGUGUUUGACAACCAGCAAUCCUCCAGAACACAAAGGAUUUGGCUGGUCACAUUCCACCGUGUUCACUGUCAGAUUACUGUAAGUUAACUUGUGACUGCUUGUACCAGUUCCAUUGAAAUAGUAUUAUUGAAUACUGAUAGUACUGGUGUCUUGGAAGGAAACCAGGUCUCCGGUAAAAUCUACACAAUCAACGAAUAGCAUGUCAUGAUUAUCAGUUCUUAACGAUCCCAAUUAAUUCCCGACACCUCCCGAAGAAAUUGGCAACUCGCCAACAUUCUCUAUCAAAUCUCAUUCCUCAAGUGAAAAAUUCAUGCUUAAAUUAAUUUUAAUUAAUAAUUUUCCCAGAUACCCCAGGGGUUAGUCACACGGCAUUGUUUACAUUUCUUUGUCAAAUAAGUUGUCAUUUAUAAAUUCGAUUUGAAGCGCUAUUUCCGCAGCUCACCUCUUUACAGCUUUACAACAUAGAUAAAGGUGGUUCACUUUAAAUUUAAAAAUUUUAUUCAUGAAUACAGAUUGUUUGUUAGACAUGUUUUAAAGAGAGUAUUUAUGGAAAUAAUUGUAAUUAUAGUAAUUAUUGAUGAGAUUCGUUACAUUAAAGUUAUCAAUUAAAAUUUGAGGUCCUGAUGAGAUGCGGGUAAACCGUGAGCUUAAAUUAAUUGAUUAAUUGAUUGAUCAGUUAAUUAGUUAGUGACGGUUUUAUAUACAGUAAUAAUUUCUUUUGAUAACACACUAAGAUUAACAUUAUUAGGGAUGCUUAAUUACGAGUUCAAGUACGGUUCAAAUUUUAAAAUAAUCGAGGUUAUACAGUAGAUGUUAGAGUUAUAUAUAUAUGAGUAUAAUUAUGAUGAAUUUAUGAUCAUAUUUAGUUUCAAAUUCUAAGCAGAAUCGAAAAAUCUUGAUGCUGCAUAUUUCGACCCUUUUUAGUUUGAAGCUAUCGUUGAUUUAACUUAAUCUUCAAAUAAGUUAGUUUAUCGUACGAGAGGUCGAUUGAUUGACUGAUGAAGCAGCUCAAUGUUUUUCGAGUAUAAAUAUUGGUGAAAGUAGAUAAUUAUUGUUAUUUUAGACAAACUUGCAUUCAACAUUGUAUAUUUUUAUAAGCGAGUUUUUAUUGGAAUUAUGUUCAGCCUGAUAUCCACGAUCCAGUCCACUAAAAUGUUAACUUGUGUUUGAGGUUGGACAUUUCAGUUUGCAAAAUUUGGGUGGAUAUUAGGCUGAUUCGUUAACAAUUCUUUGUAAAUAAUGUUAUUCGUUGUUUGGUCCCAAUGGUUUGUUUCCGAACAGCAAAUAUCUUUGAAUAAUACAAUUCUCUUCAAUUUAGAAUUUUAAA